UACGUAGGGUGCAAGCGUUGUCCGGAAUUACUGGGCGUAAAGAGCUCGUAGGUGGUUUGUCGCGUUGUUCGUGAAAACCGGGGGCUUAACCCUCGGCGUGCGGGCGAUACGGGCAGACUAGAGUACUGCAGGGGAGACUGGAAUUCCUGGUGUAGCGGUGGAAUGCGCAGAUAUCGGGAGGAACACCGGUGGCGAAGGCGGGACUCUGGGCCUACCCUGGACGCUGAGGCGCGAAGGCGUGGGGAGCAAACGGG
rnacentral:rRNA from 1 species